UCGUGUUGUGAAAUGUUGGGUUAAGUCCCGCAACGAGCGCAACCCUUAUCCUUUGUUGCCAGCGGUCCGGCCGGGAACUCAAAGGAGACUGCCAGUGAUAAACUGGAGGAAGGUGGGGAUGACGUCAAGUCAUCAUGGCCCUUACGACCAGGGCUACACACGUGCUACAAUGGCGCAUACAAAGAGAAGCGACCUCGCGAGAGCAAGCGGACCUCAUAAAGUGCGUCGUAGUCCGGAUUGGAGUCUGCAACUCGACUCCAUGAAGUCGGAAUCGCUAGUAAUCGUGGAUCAGAAUGCCACGGUGAAUACGUUCCCGGGCCUUGUACACACCGCCCGUCACACCAUGGGAGUGGGUUGCAAAAGAAGUAGGUAGCUUAACCUUCGGGAGGGCGCUUACCACUUUGUGAUUCAUGACUGGGGUGAAGUCGUAACAAGGUAACCGUAGGGGAACCUGCGGUUGGAUCACCUCCUU
rnacentral:rRNA from 1 species